rnacentral:rRNA from 1 species
GAUGAACGCUAGCGGAAGGCUUAAUACAUGCAAGUCGAGCGGUAGGUGGCUUCGGCCAUUGAGAGCGGCGCACGGGUGAGUAACGCGUACAUGACCUGCCUGUCAGAAGGGGAUAGCCCUGGGAAACUGGGAUUAAUACCCUAUGGUAUUGAUAUUAUGAAUGAUAUCAAUUAAAGUUGAGGCGCUGACAGAUGGAUGUGCGUCUGAUUAGCUAGUUGGUAGGGUAACGGCCUACCAAGGCGACGAUCAGUAGGGGGCGUGAGAGCGUGGUCCCUCACACGGGUACUGAGACACGGACCCGAUCCUACGGGAGGCAGCAGUAAGGAAUAUUGGUCAAUGCCCGCAAGGGGUGAACCAGCCAUUCCGCGUGGAGGAUGAAGGCCCUAUGGGUUGUAAACUUCUUUUAGAUGGGAAGAAAUGCUAGAUGUAUCUGGUACUGACGGUACCAUCAGAAUAAGCACCGGCUAACUCCGUGCCAGCAGCCGCGGUAAU